UAUAAUAUUAGUAUGGAUAUUAGAACAAAGCAAAACUGUUGAGAGUGUGGUACAUUUCUAUAUAUUACAUUCUCAUAGAUUCGAGAAGAGAGCGGUUGUAUGGUACGUUAUUUUGUGUAUGGUGUCGUCGCAGUGGAAGCGUGCGUAGCGAAACAUAGCGAGACGCAGUUUAUAUUAUUAAGCACUGUAUUCUUAUCAAUAAUAAAUAUUGUAUUCUUAUCAAAAACAAUAUUGAAAACAUACAUAUUGAAGACCGUAGAACAGAUGUGAAGUAUUGCAAGAAUCACAAGAGUUUCACCAGCAGGAAGUAGAAGGAGAGUCGGAGGAGGACAAUAAAUCAAAGAAGAGAGAAAUAGCAAAAUACUAGUAAGUAUAAAAGUAGGAAAGUGUCAGCAGGAAUACAAAACCAACAUAAAAGGACUCGUUAAAAGGAACAAGUUAACCAAUUAAGAAGGUUCAAUUACAACUGUGAGGAAAGAAAAGAAAAGAAGAAGAAAAUGAAAAGGAAAAGGGACGAAAAGAACCAAGGAACACCACACUGUCAUGUCGUCAUGAGAGGGACAAUACGAUGCGAGCUAUGGCAAAAUGGUGAGAGACCUUUCUUGUGGGAAAUUAAGUGUCCUACUAUUUAUGUUCUAUGAAAUUUUUUGAUCAG